rnacentral:misc_RNA from 1 species
GAUGAAGAACGCAGCGAAAUGCGAUAAGUAGUGUGAAUUGCAGAAUUCAGUGAAUCAUCGAAUCUUUGAACGCACAUUGCGCCCCUUGGUAUUCCAUGGGGCAUGCCUGUUCGAGCGUCAUUUGUACCUUCAAGCUCUGCUUGGUGUUGGGUGUUUGUCUCGCCUCUGCGUGUAGACUCGCCUCAAAACAAUUGGCAGCCGGCGUAUUGAUUUCGGAGCGCAGUACAUCUCGCGCUUUGCACUCAUAACGACGACGUCCAAAAGUACAUUUUUACACACUUGACCUCGGAUCAGGUAGGGAUACCCGCUGAACUUAAGCAUAUCAAUAAGCGGAGGA